rnacentral:siRNA from 1 species
GCUGGUCAUUCGGUUGAA